rnacentral:rRNA from 1 species
UACGUAGGGGGCAAGCGUUGUCCGGAUUUAUUGGGCGUAAAGAGCGUGUAGGCGGUUAUGCAGGUCCGCUGUGAAAACUGGAGGCUUAACCUCCAGACGUCGGUGGAAACCGUAUGACUAGAAUCCGGAAGAGGAGAGUGGAAUUCCUGGUGUAGCGGUGAAAUGCGCAGAUAUCAGGAAGAACACCCGUGGCGAAGGCGGCUCUCUGGGACGGUACUGACGCUGAGACGCGAAAGCGUGGGGAGCGAACAGG